rnacentral:rRNA from 1 species
AUGGCCGCCGCCGCCGCCGCGGCCACGAGGAAGGACGGCGCCGACGCCCGCCCGCCCCCGCAUCGCCUGAGGUCGCCCUCCAGGGUGGCGGCGGACUUCGCCAUGGGCGGCGCCGCGGCGGUGAUGGCCAAGACGGGGGCGGCGCCGGUGGAGCGCGUCAAGCUGCUGCUGCAGAACCAGGCCGAGAUGCUGCGCCGGGGCGCCCUCACGCGGCCCUACCGCGGGAUCGCCGACGCCUUCGCCCGCGUCCUCCGCGAGGAGGGCGCCGCCGCGCUCUGGCGCGGCAACCAGGCCAACGUCAUCCGAUACUUCCCCACCCAGGCCUGCAACUUUGCAUUCAAAGGCUACUUCAAGAGCUUCUUUGGCUAUGACAAGGAGAAAGACGGGAAAUGGAAAUGGCUAGCUGGAAAUGUAGCAUGUGGCAGUGCUGCAGGAGCCACAACAUCAUCCCUGCUAUACCAUCUGGAUUAUGCACGGACGCGGCUAGCCACUGACGCGAUUGAAUCCCGAGCUAACAAACGUCAGUUCAGGGGGUUGCUAGAUGUCUACAAGAAGACACUUGCAACUGAUGGUAUUCGUGGAUUAUACCGAGGCUUCAGUGUGUCUAUUGUGGGUAUCACUCUAUAUCGGGGUCUUUAUUUUGGCAUCUACGACACCAUGAAACCUAUUGUACUAGUAGGGCCAUUGGAGGGAAAUUUCCUGGCCAGUUUUGCCUUGGGAUGGACAAUAACUACAUUCUCCGGGGCCUGCGCCUACCCAUUUGAUACACUCCGACGAAGAAUGAUGUUAACUUCAGGGCAGCCAUUCAAAUACAGGAGCGCCUUCCAUGCCGUAAAACAGAUAGUUUCCACUGAAGGGUUCUUCACUCUAUUCAGAGGGGUCGGUGCAAAUAUCCUCUCGGGAAUGGCAGGAGCUGGAGUUCUUGCUGGGUAUGACCAGCUCCAACGGUUUGCAGGCCAGCAUGAUUACAAAAUUGAGAACAAGAUGAAAGGGGCAUUGAAAUGA